GUGCUCGCUUUGGCAGUACAUAUACUAACAUUGGAAUGAUACAGAGAUUAGCAUGGGCCCUGUGCAAGGAUGAUGUGCGAAUUCAUGUGAAGCCUUUCUUAUCA
ensembl:snRNA U6 U6 spliceosomal RNA